UGAAGUUAUAAAAAGAGAGAGAUACAGACGAUAGAGAGAAGGGAGGAAUUUGGAGGCGUGGCGGUGACGACGUGAAGGCGUAGGAUCGCGAUUCCGCUCAUACCCUGGGUUGUUUCAGAAAUCCGAUCAAGUUGUUUAGGGUUGUUUAAGAUACAGGCGUUUCCGGAUUGGAGGUCAAUACUUCUUCCACACAAGAAGAGACUGUUUGGGUUGAGUGUCUUUCAUUGAUUUUUGCAACCAUGAACUGAAGGCUGCAGCAACAUGGAAAGUUGAUGGAGCAGGAUCAUCAAACAUUACCGAAGUUGACACUUUAUUUAAAGCAUUGAUUGGUGCUUUGAUCGUUCAAGAAAUACAAACCAAAAAAUAUGGCAAACUUUUGAAGCAAAGUUAUAAUGUGAUGGCGUCGUAAAUGGGUAAGGAUUUCUACGGUAUUUGAAUAUGUACCGGACAAUCAAAUAUGUAUCCAGAAUUUGAUAUCAACAUGCUCAGGAAUACGAGAGUUUUCCGUGGCAACGCUCGGUGAUGUAGUAUCGGUUCACCAAUGUGCUGAUGUGAAAUAUGGCAAACGGGUUCACAUCCUUCCAGUUGAUGAUACCAUCGAAGGCGUCACCGGCAAUCUCUUUAA
rnacentral:lncRNA from 1 species